AUACGGUGGAGGUUUAGGAGGAUACGGAGGUGGAUUUGGUGGAAAGGGUGGAUACGGAGGUGGAUACGGAGGUGGAUACGGUGGUGGAUACGGAGGUGGAUACGGAGGCGGAUUCGGUGGUGGAAUCGGUGGUGGAAUCGGCGGAGGAUAUGGCAAAGGUGGAUACAGCAAAUAUUAAGGGACUAUCCAUGUAUAGACGACCAGAAUUCCUUGAGAAAAUCCGUUUUGUUUGCAAAUUUGUUUGUUGUUUGAUAUUUAUUUAGUUAUGCAUCGGAAUAAACAUUUCCAUAAAACUUAAA